rnacentral:lncRNA from 1 species
UCCAGAACGAAUUCUGACCGACCAAGGGGGCGCCUUCGAUUCAGCAUUGAUGCGUCAACUCCGCGAGUUGUAUGGCUGUACAAAAAGUCGUACCACCCCGUAUCACCCCCAAGGGAACGGGGCAUGUGAGCGGUUCAACCAAACAAUUCUGGGAUUGCUGAGCUCGCUGGAUCCCACAGACCACCCGCGAUGGCAUCACAAACUUCCAGCCCUGAUACAAGUUUAUAAUAACUCUGUCCAUGCAAGCCCAGGGCUGACCCCCCACUUUGUUCUGUUUGGACGCCAUGCCAGACUACCGAUUGACAUGAUCCAUGGAGUGACCCCGCCCCAGCGGCGAGGUGACCUCGAAGAAUGGGUCCACCAGCACCAUAAUACCCUGAUGGACGCUUACGCCCGAGUGCAGCGAAACGUCUCCCGCCGGCAGGCGUGGGACCAGAAACGGUACAAUAGACGGGCAUUGGCUGUUCCUCUGCUACCUGGCGAGCGAGUGCUGAUCAAGAACUUCCGCAGAAGGGCGCGGGGGAAACUGACAUCAAGGUGGCUUCCCACACCUUAUGUUGUGCUAGAUCGACCCCGGCCAGAACAGCCCGUCUACCUCAUUCGUCCGGAAGGGGAAGAAGGGCCCACUCGCACUUUGCAUCGGAACAACCUCCGCCCAUGCCCAGCAGGAGUGCUGGGCAGCCCGGAGGUACAAGAGGAAGGCCCACCUGGGGCCAAUGUGGAUGUCCCGCCCCAGUUCAAUCUUCCCAGUUUCCUAGUGCCCCCGUGCCCCUCCCGUCCGGCCGUCACUGGUGUCUCGCCUAGGGCAGUACACCCCACGCUACCCCCCGGUCGUUUUUCCCCUAUACAAUCCACCUCCAUUCCCAUAGGUCCUCCAAGGCCUUCCUUAAGCAUCCCCACAAUGAUGCCUCCUCACCCCCCUACUGUCCGACCCUUUGAGUUAGGGACCCAAGGUAAGACCACUGGGGGGGGACCAGGGUUAGUAAGUGAUAGGAAUGUUGUUAACAAUGAUUCGUUGUUGAUUAAUGAUAGGAAUGUUGUUAAUUAUGAU